GUCAGCGUCUCCACCCUCUGCAAUGCGACGCCGAACGCUAACCAUAGAGCUGCGUUGUGUUUCUACAGGGAGAUGCAGCUUGGUCAGGGCAGUAUUUUUCUGUGCAUGUGCAAUAGCCUCCUAAUGCUUUCCUAUUGGAAAGCAUUGGAUUGGCGCGGAGUUCAUAAAGUUUAAGAACUAUAGUGUUAGAAAUACAGGUUUGUCUUCCUGACACUAUAGUGUUCCUUUAAGCCAGAUUGAUUUGUGAUACAUGUUUUGGCUGAAUUGGAAUGAAAAUCUUGUCAAAUUCCACAGGUUACGCCAAUACUUAACUAAGAAAUUAAAAACAUUGUGACAGUCCAAUAUGCAACUUUGUUC